rnacentral:misc_RNA from 1 species
GGGGAUUUAAAAUCCCC